UUUCUUUUUAAUAAUGCAUCCAUGGUUGGACAUAUAUCCAAUAACAAUUGACUUUGCUGUUUUUCUUUUACUUUUGUUGUUUUUAUUUUUUAUUUUAUGUAGAUGACGUCGGACCACCUCUCUCCUACUCCAAGAUGGCAAAGUUAUACAGGACAAGCACCUCGACAACACGGUUGUGGAUGAAGAUUUGCGGACUUGGCUUAUUUAUUUUAAUAAUUUAUUUCAUGUAUUGGUGUUAGACCAUGAAUGGCUGUAUAUAAGUUAUUUUAACUUUGAAUGUGAUGAUUUAAAUAAAGAUUAUGAAGUUCCUUUUUUA